AUUGAACGCUGGCGGCAGGCCUAACACAUGCAAGUCGAACGGCAGCACGGGGCAGCUUGCUGUCUCGCUGGCGAGUGGCGGACGUGUGAGGAAUGCAUCUGAAUCUUCCCGGUGGAGGGGGAUAACUACUGGAAACUUACACUACUACCGCAUACGGCCUUCAGGUGAAAGAGGGUGACCGCCAGGCCUCUCGCCAUUGGAUGAGCCGAGGUCGGAUUAGCUAGUUGGGGGGGUAAUGGCCCACCAAGGCGACGAUCCGUAGCUGGUCUGAGAGGAUGAUCAGCCACACUGGAACUGAGACACGGUCCAGACUCCUACGGGAGGCAGCAGUGGGGAAUAUUGGACAAUGGGCGAAAGCCUGAUCCAGCCAUACCGCGUGUGUGAAGAAGGCCUUCGGGUUGUAAAGCACUUUUAGUGGGGAGGAAGGGCAUUAGGCUAAUACCUUGCGAGGUUGACGGUACCAACAGAAUAAGCACCGGCUAACUUCGUG
rnacentral:rRNA from 1 species